CUUUAUUGUGGGCCCUCCUCAGUGCCAACAUUGCUUUGUCUCUCGCUGGAGAAGCCUGUGAGAACGAGGAUGGGCAAAGUGUCAGGCUCUUGGUGCAGCUGAAAAUCCUUUGAGAUGGAAGAAAUGGCUGGAACAAAGGGGCAGAGGAACAAAAAGCCCUGAACUGCUUCGCCCCUGCCUCGUGGGGUCUUUAUCAUCUUAAACCUUGGGAUUUGAACAUCUGUCCAGUCCCUGGGAUGGUGAGGCUAUAACCACAAAGGAAUAAGAGAAGACGACUAGUUUUGUAAUGGGCACAGUGGAUUGAAGAGGGGGGCAGUGCUGAGUCAUUCACGUGGUGUGUGAGGGCUCCUGUUUGUAAAUCAGGGAUUCUUGCAGCCUGCUUUUUCAGGGACAUUGGCUGCUGUCUUCUGACCCACCCUGUGUGGCUUUGGCGUCUCCUGUGACCUCCCAGUAUGGGUCUUGGCCUCAUCCUGCCUCUUUGUCUUUCUGGCCCACCACCCACAGCUUGAAUCUCAGGCUCCAACAGUUGCCUGACCCCCAGAUUCUGAUGACAGCCUACCUACUUGUUCUUCAGGCCCUCACCAGACUCACUGCCCAGACACACCACACAGGAGAACAUGAAAGGGUGAAUGAAUCUUUCAUCAUUUGAUGACCAAGUUGGCAUUCUUUUACAUUCCAGCCACCAGAGGAAGGUGUAUUUUAACACAAUUGCCCUCACAUCCUCCUUAACAGGAUUUACAUAAGUUUAUUAACACAUAUGUUUCUACAAAAUCAAGUUUUGAGAACCAUUUUUAUACACUGAUCUGGGACAUUUUGGGGAUAUGAAAUUAACUUUAGCACACACAGCAAGAAGAAAACCGAACAACAAAUUCUACAAACACCAAAUUUGCUGUGAAAUUUACAUUUCAGAAUCUCUCAAGAAAUAGUGCCCAGCAGCAAUUCUUACUGUUUUCACUUUUUCCCCCGUCUUCACAUUUUUAUGUUUGACAGUGCCAACAUAUUUUCUCAACAUUUAUUCUGAAAGGAAUGUACUUUGUGAAUUCCUUAAAUGCAGGAUGAUUCUGAUUUUAUUGGCCUAAUAGCUCCUCCUUAUGCGUGGGUUAGUAUAACAGAAUGCAUUUGAGACCUGCUAUACUAUUUUAAAUUAAGACAUUUCAUGUAGCACAUAGUAUUUUAAAAUGAAGAACAUUGUCUUGGAAAGCACACAGGCUAACUGCUAUUUUCUUGAUGCAAGAAAUAUUUAAAUUCUCUGUGCUUCAGUCUAUACAAUCAGUUUUCCAGGGAUGCUGUGUAUAUAAAACGAGGGAGUGUAUUAAGAGUA
rnacentral:lncRNA from 1 species